rnacentral:rRNA from 1 species
AACGAACGCUGGCGGCAGGCUUAACACAUGCAAGUCGAGCGCCCCGCAAGGGGAGCGGCAGACGGGUGAGUAACGCGUGGGAAUCUACCCAACCCUACGGAAUAACGCAUGGAAACGUGUGCUAAUACCGUAUACGCCCUUUUGGGGAAAGAUUUAUCGGGGAUGGAUGAGCCCGCGUUGGAUUAGCUAGUUGGUGGGGUAAAGGCCUACCAAGGCGACGAUCCAUAGCUGGUCUGAGAGGAUGAUCAGCCACUUUGGGACUGAGACACGGCCCAAACUCCUACGGGAGGCAGCAGUGGGGAAUAUUGGACAAUGGGCGCAAGCCUGAUCCAGCCAUGCCGCGUGAGUGAUGAAGGCCCUAGGGUUGUAAAGCUCUUUCACCGGAGAAGAUAAUGACGGUAUCCGGAGAAGAAGCCCCGGCUAACUUCGUGCCAGCCGCCGCGGUAA